GUAGGUGAACCUGCGGAAGGAUCAUUAACGAGUUAGGGUCGUUCUGGCCCAGACUUCCAACCCUUUGUUUAUCUACACCAUGUUGCUUUGGCGGGUCCGCCCCCUUUAAAUUAGGGGGGCCGCCGGAGGUUAUUUUUUACCUCUGGUCCGUACCCGCCAGUAGCCAUUAUUAAAUUCUUUUUUAACUUAUGUCGUCUGAGUGAUAUUUUUUAAAAUAAUUUAAAACUUUCAACAACGGAUCUCUUGGUCC
rnacentral:misc_RNA from 1 species